rnacentral:tRNA from 1 species
GAAGAGGUAGUUUAUAAAAAUAUUAGGUUGUCAGCCUAAAGAUGCCUAUUAGCAGGUCCUGUUCU